rnacentral:tRNA from 1 species
GGGCCUGUAACAUAGCUUGGAUAGUGUGGAAGGCUUCGGGAUCUUCAAAGAUGAAGUAACCUUCAUACCUGGGUUCAAAUCCCAGCAGGCUCA